UGGGUGACUUGGCGGGUCAUCGAAUUCGGGCGGCCGCCAUGGAGGCCGGGAGCAUGGGACAUCAGGCCCAGUGUGACCUGCCUUGAGCCUCAUUAAAAGCCUGGGAAACUGGGUCUAAUACCGGAUAUGACCUCGGAAUGCAUGUUCUGGGGUGGAAAGAUUUAUCGGUGCGAGAGGGGCCCGCGGCCUAUCAGCUUGUUGGUGAGGUAACGGCUCACCAAGGCGACGACGGGUAGCCGACCUGAGAGGGUGACCGGCCACACUGGGACUGAGACACGGCCCAGACUCCUACGGGAGGCAGCAGUGGGGAAUAUUGCACAAUGGGCGCAAGCCUGAUGCAGCGACGCCGCGUGCGGGAUGACGGCCUUCGGGUUGUAAACCGCUUUUGACAGGGACGAAGCGCAAGUGACUGUACCUGUAGAAUAAGGACCGGCCAACUACGUGCCAGUAGCCGCGGUAAUACGUAGGGUCCGAGCGUUGUCCGGAAUUACCGGGCGUAAAGAGCUUGUAGGCGGUUCGUCGCGUCGUUUGUGAAAACUUGGGGCUCAACCUUAAGCUUGCAGGCGAUACGGGCGGACUAGAGUACUUCAGGGGAGACUGGAAUUCCUGGUGUAGCGGUGAAAUGCGCAGAUAUCAGGAGGAACACCGGUGGCGAAGGCGGGUCUCUGGGAAGUAACUGACGCAGAGAAGCGAAAGCAUGGGUAGCAAACAGGAUUAGAUACCCUGGUAGUCCAUGCCGUAAACGGUGGGUACUAGGUGUGGGGCUCCUUCCACGGACUCCGUGCCGUAGCUAACGCAUUAAGUACCCCGCCUGGGGAGUACGGCCGCAAGGCUAAAACUCAAAUGAAUUGACGGGG
rnacentral:rRNA from 1 species